UAGCAAUACGUCAGCGGCAGACGGGUGAGUAACGCGUGGGAACAUACCUUUUGGUUCGGAACAACACAGGGAAACUUGUGCUAAUACCGGAUAAGCCCUUACGGGGAAAGAUUUAUCGCCGAAAGAUUGGCCCGCGUCUGAUUAGCUAGUUGGUGAGGUAACGGCUCACCAAGGCGACGAUCAGUAGCUGGUCUGAGAGGAUGAUCAGCCACAUUGGGACUGAGACACGGCCCAAACUCCUACGGGAGGCAGCAGUGGGGAAUAUUGGACAAUGGGCGCAAGCCUGAUCCAGCCAUGCCGCGUGAGUGAUGAAGGCCCUAGGGUUGUAAAGCUCUUUUGUGCGGGAAGAUAAUGACGGUACCGCAAGAAUAAGCCCCGGCUAACUUCGUGCCAGCAGCCGCGGUAAUACGAAGGGGGCUAGCGUUGCUCGGAAUCACUGGGCGUAAAGGGUGCGUAGGCGGGUCUUUAAGUCAGGGGUGAAAUCCUGGAGCUCAACUCCAGAACUGCCUUUGAUACUGAGGAUCUUGAGUUCGGGAGAGGUGAGUGGAACUGCGAGUGUAGAGGUGAAAUUCGUAGAUAUUCGCAAGAACACCAGUGGCGAAGGCGGCCUCACUGGCCCGAUACUGACGCUGA
rnacentral:rRNA from 1 species